GCUUGAUGGUUGUAAGCUCACACUGAAGUAUUAAAAUGGGUUUCUGAAAUACUUAUAGAGAAGUAGAUAUCUGAGUUUUUUUUUUUUUUUUACUUUUUUGGAUUCUUGGGUUAAUUUUAAUUGUUCUCUAAGAUAAUUGGGUCUAAUUAUAAUGAAAAUUUUGGAAUUGGUGUUUAAUAAUAGUGGCUGAAGAAAAUGAGGAACAACAUGACGGAGAUCAAUCAGUGGUGGGAUACUGGGAUGAAAUUAUAAUGCCUGCAGACGAAGAGCCACUGCAUGAAAAUCAUGAAGAAGAUGGUAAAAUCACUGAACUAGAGAGCACUAAUGCAAUCAAGUGACAGGUUGUGAAGAAUCUGUGACGACAAGAGAACUGGGGAAUGCUUGAUGAUACAUUGCAAAUGUCUUUGUGACAAAGGCUAUCAGAUUCUUCUCCCUAUAAGAAACUGUUACUGCAAACUUAUGUAGAUCAUGACAGAUUAUUGGUCCAAAAUCCUGAUAUCAAGUACUAAUAUACUUAUUUAUUUGUACUGCUUGUUCAUUC